rnacentral:lncRNA from 1 species
AGCUAUCUUGUAGGGUCCUUCUCAGUUCGAAGCCAACUUUCUCUGAUCUAGAGGCUUCGAAACUUCUGCCUUUCUUAAGACCAGGUCCCCGGGCCUAAAAAGCUUCAGCUUAACCUUGGUGUUAUAGUAUCGGGCCACUCUCUGUUGAUAGGAAGCCAUGUGGAGUUGAGCCUCGCAUCGGAGUUCGGGUAAGAGGUCC